CAAGAGCGUAUAUUAAAGUUGUUGCAGUUAAAAAGCUCGUAGUUGGAUUUCUGGUACAAUGCGCCUGGCCCGCGGCAGUAAUGCUUGUGAGUGCCGGUGCGCGUUUGCCAUCCUUCUAGAAAACGUUUCUACCCUUUACUGGGCCGGACUCGCGAUCUAGAUCUUUUACUUUGAAAAAUUAGAGUGUUCAAAGCAGGCUUUUGCUGUGAAUACAUUAGCAUGGGAUAAUUUAAUAGGACUCUGGUGCUAUUUUGUUGGUUUCGAACACCGGAGUAAUGAUUAAAAGGGGCAGUCAGGGGCACUCGUAUUCCGUCGAGAGAGGUGAAAUUCUCAGACCAAUGGAAGACGAACCACUGCGAAAGCAUUUGCCAGGGAUGUUUUCACUGAUCAAGAACGAAAGUUAGGGGAUCGAAGAUGAUUAGAUACCAU
rnacentral:rRNA from 1 species